rnacentral:rRNA from 1 species
ACUACGGGAGGCAGCAGUGAGGAAUAUUGGUCAAUGGGCGUAAGCCUGACCCAGCCAAGUCGCGUGAGGGAUGAAGGUUCUCUGGUUCUUAAACCUCUUUUAUAGGGAAGUGAAGAGUGCGGCGUGUCCUGAUUUGGAUAUGCCUUAUUAAUUAGGAGCGGCUAACGUCAUGCCAGCAGCCGCGGUAAUACGGAGGAUUCGUGCGUUUUCCGGAUUUAUUGGGUGUAAAGCGUGCGUAGGCGGCGUUAUAAGUCAUAGGUGAAAGCCUGUGGCUUAACCGUAGAAUUGCAGUUGAAACUGUGAGUCUUGAGUACGGUAGAGGCAGGCGGAAUGCCUGGUGUAGCGGUGAAAUGCGUAGAUAUUACGAAGAACACCGGUGGCGAAGGCAGUCUGCUAAGCAAUGACUGACGCUGAUGCACGAAAGCGUGGGGAGCAAACAGGAUUAGAUACCCGUGUAGUC